rnacentral:rRNA from 1 species
CAGUCGCCACGGGAAUACGUAGGGCGCAAGCGUUAUCCGGAAUUAUUGGGCGUAAAGAGCUCGUAGGCGGUUUGUCGCGUCUGCCGUGAAAGUCCGGGGCUCAACCCCGGAUCUGCGGCGGGUACGGGCAGACUAGAGUGAUGUAGGGGAGACUGGAAUUCCUGGUGUAGCGGUGAAAUGCGCAGAUAUCAGGAGGAACACCGAUGGCGAAGGCAGGUCUCUGGGCAUUAACUGACGCUGAGGAGCGAAAGCAUGGGGAGCGAACAGGAUUAGAUACCCCCGUAGUCCCUGUCUCUUAUAC